rnacentral:rRNA from 1 species
UGAGGAAUAUUGCCCAAUGGGGGAAACCCUGAGGCAGCAACGCCGCGUGGACGAUGACGGCCUUCGGGUUGUAAAGUCCUUUCUCAGGGAAGAUGAUGACGGUACCUGAGGAAUAAGUCCCGGCUAACUACGUGCCAGCAGCCGCGGUAAAACGUAGGGGGCGAGCGUUAUCCGGAUUUACUGGGCGUAAAGCGCCCGCAGGCGGCAGGUCAAGUUGGCCGUGAAAGCUCCCGGCUUAACUGGGAGAGGUCGACCAAAACUGACCGGCUAGAGGCUGAGAGAGGAGAGCAGAAUUCCCGGUGUAGUGGUGGAAUGCGUAGAUAUCGGGAGGAAUACCAGUGGCGAAGGCGGCUCUCUGGCUCAGAACUGACGCUGAGGGCGAAAGCGUGGGGAGCGAACGGGAUUAGAUACCCCGGUAGUCCACGCGGUAAACGAUGGAUACUGGGCGUCGGGGGUAAUCAACCCCCCGGUGCCGAAGCCAACGCGAUAAGUAUCCCGCCUGGGGACUACGGCCGCAAGG